rnacentral:rRNA from 1 species
CCUACGGGUGGCUGCAGUGAGGAAUAUUGGUCAAUGGCCGGAAGGCUGAACCAGCCAUGCAGCGUGAAGGUCAGUGGCCUAUGGGCGUGAAACUUCUUUUGUGAGGGAGCAAUCAGGUCACGUUUGGCCAGACGAGAGUACCGUACGAAUAAGCAUCGGCUAACUCCGUGCCAGCACCGGCGGUAAUACGGGGGAUGCAAGAGUUAUACGGAGUUAUUGGGGUUAAAGGGGGCGUAGGGUGGGAGGUAAGUCAGCGGUGAAAUGCCCCGGCUCAACGGGGUGAAGUGCCAUUGAUACUGCCUGGCUGGAAUGCGGAUGCCGUAGGAGGAAUGUGUGGUGUAGCGGUGAAAUGCAUAGAUAUCACACAGAACACCGAUUGCGAAGGCAUCUCACGAAUCCGCGAUUGACGCUGAUGCACGAAAGCGUGGGUAUCAAACAGGAUUAGAUACCCCUGUAGUC